rnacentral:rRNA from 1 species
CCUGAUCAGCAACGCCGCGUGAGGGAUGACGGCCUUCGGGUUGUAAACCUCUUUCAGCAGGGACGAAGCGAAAGUGACGGUACCUGCAGAAGAAGCACCGGCCAACUACGUGCCAGCAGCCGCGGUAAUACGUAGGGUGCGAGCGUUGUCCGGAAUUAUUGGGCGUAAAGGGCUCGUAGGCGGUUUGUCGCGUCGGGAGUGAAAACUCAGGGCUUAACCCUGAGCCUGCUUCCGAUACGGGCAGACUAGAGGUAUGCAGGGGAGAAUGGAAUUCCUGGUGUAGCGGUGAAAUGCGCAGAUAUCAGGAGGAACACCGGUGGCGAAGGCGGUUCUCUGGGCAUUACCUGACGCUGAGGAGCGAAAGUGUGGGGAGCGAACAGGAUUAGAUACCCUGGUAGUCCACACCGUAAACGUUGGGCGCUAGGUGUGGGACUCAUUCCACGAGUUCCGUGCCGCAGCUAACGCAUUAAGCGCCCCGCCUGGGGAGUACGGCCGCAAGGCUAAAACUCAAAGGAAUUGACGGGGGCCCGCACAAGCGGCGGAGCAUGCGGAUUAAUUCGAUGCAACGCGAAGAACCUUACCUAGGUUUGACAUAUGCGAGAAUCCUCUAGAGAUAGAGGCCUCUUUGGACA